AUACGGAGGAUGCAAGCGUUAUCCGGAUUUAUUGGGUUUAAAGGGUGCGUAGGCGGAUGAUUAAGCGUGAGGUGAAAUGCCACUGCUCAACAGUGGAACUGCCUCGCGAACUGGUUGUCUUGAAUGCUCCUGCCGUGGGAGGAAUGUGUGGUGUAGCGGUGAAAUGCAUAGAGAUCACACAGAACACCGAUUGCGAAGGCAUCUCACGAAGGGGUGAUUGACGCUGAGGCACGAAAGCGUGGGGAUCAAACAGGAUUAGAUACCCUGGUAGUCCACGUAGUAAACGAUGAUAACUAACCGCUGGGUCGUAGUGAUUCAGUGGCCAAGCGAAAGCGAUAAGUUAUCCACCUGGGGAGUACGACCGCAAGGUUGAAACUCAAAGGAAUUGACGUGG
rnacentral:rRNA from 1 species